rnacentral:rRNA from 1 species
UACGUAGGGUGCAGGCGUUAAUCGGAAUUACUGGGCGUAAAGCGUGCGCAGGCGGCUUCCUAAGUCAGAUGUGAAAUCCCCCGGGCUCAACCUGGGAACUGCGUUUGAAACUGGGAGGCUAGAGUGCGGCAGAGGGGGGUGGAAUUCCACGUGUAGCAGUGAAAUGCGUAGAUAUGUGGAGGAACACCGAUGGCGAAGGCAGCCCCCUGGGCCAGCACUGACGCUCAUGCACGAAAGCGUGGGGAGCAAACAGG